rnacentral:rRNA from 1 species
GUGGGGAAUUUUGGACAAUGGGCGCAAGCCUGAUCCAGCCAUGCCGCGUGAGUGAAGAAGGCCUUCGGGUUGUAAAGCUCUUUCGGACGGAAAGAAAUCGCGCAGGCUAAUACCCUGUGCGGAUGACGGUACCGUCAUAAGAAGCACCGGCUAACUACGUGCCAGCAGCCGCGGUAAUACGUAGGGUGCGAGCGUUAAUCGGAAUUACUGGGCGUAAAGCGUGCGCAGGCGGUUGAUUAAGACAGGCGUGAAAUCCCCGGGCUUAACCUGGGAACUGCGCUUGUGACUGGUCAGCUAGAGUACGGCAGAGGGGGGUGGAAUUCCACGUGUAGCAGUGAAAUGCGUAGAGAUGUGGAGGAACACCGAUGGCGAAGGCAGCCCCCUGGGCCGAUACUGACGCUCAUGCACGAAAGCGUGGGUAGCAAACAGGAUUAGAAACCCUAGUAGUCC